UGGCGGACGGGUGGAGUAACGCGUGGGUAACCUGCCUCACACAGGGGAGUAACAGUUGGAAACGGCUGCUAAUACCGCAUAAGCGCACAGUACCGCAUGGUACAGUGUGAAAAACUCCGGUGGUGUGAGAUGGACCCGCGUCUGAUUAGCUAGUUGGCAGGGCAACGGCCUACCAAGGCGACGAUCAGUAGCCGACCUGAGAGGGUGACCGGCCACAUUGGGACUGAGACACGGCCCAAACUCCUACGGGAGGCAGCAUG
rnacentral:rRNA from 1 species